GAACGGAGAAAUAUUUCCUCCCCCAUACUUAAACUCAACAUUGACCUGAAUGUUUUUAUGAAAGUGGGAAAAAGAAAAUAAUAAACCUCUGAGUGAUUCACGUGUCAUGGUGUCUGGCAUGUUGACCCAAUGCUCUCCGUAAGGAAAGUACUUUUUGGAAUAGGUGGUCCAUUUACGCAUUCACUCUAUUAGAUUGAUAUUAUAUUACUUGGCGAAGAGUUGCAACUUCUCGUCGAAGACUGUUG
rnacentral:lncRNA from 1 species